UACGGAGGGGGGCGAGCGUUGUCCGAAGUUACUGGGCGUAAAGCGCGCGUAGGCGGGGAGCCAAGUCCGCUGUGAAAGCCUGAGGCUUAACCUCAGCGGGUCGGUGGAUACUGGUUCUCUUGAAGGCGUUAGGGGGAGAUGGAAUUACCGGUGUAGCGGUGAAAUGCGUAGAUAUCGGUAGGAACACCCCGUGGCGAAGGCGGUCUCCUGGGACGUUCUUGACGCUGAGGCGCGAAAGCUGGGGGGAGCGAACGGGG
rnacentral:rRNA from 1 species